rnacentral:rRNA from 1 species
AGUGAACGCUGGCGGUAGGCCUAACACAUGCAAGUCGAACGGCAGCACAGUAAGAGCUUGCUCUUACGGGUGGCGAGUGGCGGACGGGUGAGGAAUACAUCGGAAUCUACUUUUUCGUGGGGGAUAACGUAGGGAAACUUACGCUAAUACCGCAUACGACCUACGGGUGAAAGCAGGGGAUCUUCGGACCUUGCGCGAUUGAAUGAGACGAUGUCGGAUUAGCUAGUUGGCGGGGUAAAGGCCCACCAAGGCAACGAUCCGUAGCUGGUCUGAGAGGAUGAUCAGCCACACUGGAACUGAGACACGGUCCAGACUCCUACGGGAGGCAGCAGUGGGGAAUAUUGGACAAUGGGCGCAAGCCUGAUCCAGCCAUACCGCGUGGGUGAAGAAGGCCUUCGGGUUGUAAAGCCCUUUUGUUGGGAAAGAAAAGCAGCAGGUUAAUCCCCCGCUGUUCUGACGGUACCCAAAGAAUAAGCACCGGCUAACUUCGUG